rnacentral:rRNA from 1 species
AUUGAACGCUGGCGGAAUGCUUUACACAUGCAAGUCGAACGGUAGAGGGGGCAACCCCUCGAGAGUGGCGAACGGGUGAGUAAUAUAUCGGAACGUGCCCAGUCGUGGGGGAUAACGUAGCGAAAGUUACGCUAAUACCGCAUACGAUCUAAGGAUGAAAGCGGGGGACCGCAAGACCUCGCGCGAUUGGAGCGGCCGAUAUCAGAUUAGGUAGUUGGUGGGGUAAAGGCUCACCAAGCCAACGAUCAGUAGCUGGUCUGAGAGGACGACCAGCCACACUGGAACUGAGACACGGUCCAGACUCCUACGGGAGGCAGCAGUGGGGAAUUUUGGACAAUGGACGCAAGUCUGAUCCAGCCAUUCCGCGUGCAGGAUGAAGGCCCUCGGGUUGUAAACUGCUUUUGUACGGAACGAAAAGGUCUCUCUUAAUACGGGGGACUCAUGACGGUACCGUAAGAAUAAGCACCGGCUAACUACGUGCCAGCCGCCGCGGUAACAC